UGGGGUAGGGGUACUAGAGAACUAAAAAAAAAAUAUGAUAAUAAUAACAAGAGACUCACAAAAAUAAUUGAGUUUUCUUCAAAAAAUAAAGAGCCAUUAAUCAUGAAAAAUAGUGGCAUCUACAAAAAAAAAAGAAAAAAAAAUUGAAAGAUAAGUUCUCUAGGUACCUUAUUAACAAUGAAUUUAGCCCUGAUAAUGGUAAUGCUUCAACAAGGAAUAGUAGUGGAUACCUAACUCCAAUUUAGCCUACUUUUCCUAAAAUUAUCCCACCAUUUACCCAAGCCAAGUUAUAACCCUCAAGACCUCAAAAAUGUGUGUGAUGUAUUUACUUUGAUUGACGUUUAGAAUUUUUUCAAGCUUAUGGUA
rnacentral:lncRNA from 1 species